GACUGAAGAGUCCAAACUCUAGACUGGAGACUCUGAGUAAAAAAAGAAGAAAAAAGGUCGGCUGCUGAAUUUCCUUUUUGGUCAAGUUGGCAGUUUAUCUCAGUAGAAAAGAAAGAAUGGAAAGAGGACAGAGAUGUGAUUGUGUUGUGGUGUUUCGGAACCUUGUUAAAUCUCGAAUAUUGUUGGAACACAAGUAUUAUUUUAAAAUGGAAGAGCUGGAUGUUUUUGAAAAAAUAUGGGACGAUGAUGGUGUACUCUUUUCUUUGAAAGACUCUGAAAUCAUAUUUGCAGAUGUUUUCAUAUAAAUCCAUAUUUUUGUGACAUAUUGUAGUUUGUGACAGUAUCCCAACAAUGGGAAUGUAAAUACAUUUUUAUCAGAAUAAAUGAAGUUUUAAAAACUCAAAA